GCGGGACUGGAGCGGGCGGGACCAAGGAGGCCAGAGGCGGGCGAAGGGCGCGAGUCUUCAGUUCAACAAACGUCAUCAAACACCUACUGUGUGCUACUCAGGCUCUGGGGAUGCAAAAUUGAGUGAGACAGUCUGAACACCAAGGGAUCCUUGAAAUGGACAUGUGAACCAAUGGAGGACAACGAAAAACAAGCUGCUUGAGCACCCAGCGGUGUCCAGAUGCCACAGAAUCACUUUUUGCAUCAUCAGAACUGACAUCCAGGAAGCCUGUGCUAAGUACGGUACACACACAGCUGGGACUGAUCCUACGAUGUGACACUAGCACUAUCCCGUUUGCAGGUGAGAAAUGUCUGCAUGGUGGGAGCCUCACGCUGCUGCAGUCCGCACCUGGGCACCUGUCCUGUAGAGGACUUAAAAAUGUUGGUUCCAGCACAUGCGCACUCAGCUGUAUGUUCCUUUGGAUCAGAAGCAGAGAUCUUGCUUCAGGCGUGGUGUGGUCCAGCUCCUGGGGCGCUGGGCCCUCCUGCAUCCAGUCCUGCCCUGCUCUCCUACCCCUAACCUGGGAAGCUCACAUCUGUUCACUUCAUGUUCCAGAGCCACCGUUUCUAGCUGUAGACACCUGGUGAGUGGCUUCAAGUCUGUUGUGAACUUUGAAAAAUGGAGGAAAUGACGCCGUGCACGGUGGCCGUGAAUGUCAGCUGAGGCUGUGUGUGCUUCCCUAGCGUGGUCUGACCCAGUGUGUCCUCAGUGCCACCCCAGGUCUCCUCGUCCUGUGCGUGCAGAUUAACUGGGAGGGAUGGUGUCACUUUCGACGGAAUAUAUUGACGAUGAGCAAAUUAUCAGUUUAUAGUAAAAAUCAACAGUGUAAAUAUCUCUAUAACUUUAAAUGUUUAUAUCUAAGCAGUUACCUUCCAUCUCCCUGACAGGUCAUUGAUGUCCAAAGGUCGUAUUGUCAUGUAGGAAGAGUGAAAUUGAAACCGUCCAGAAGUAGCCAGUGACCUUGCUUGAACUAAAUGCAUAAGAUUUUCACAUUCAUUACAGGCUUGCGCAUUUAUUUCACCCCCACGUUUCUGACCCCGGCUGAUAGAUAAUAAUAAUAGAAACCCUGCCGGCUGUAAGUGGAGGGGAGAGAAAAAAACCUGUUAAAGUCAGCCCAUUCGUUCUUCAUCGCAUAGACAGUUCCGUAAAUUCAUUUUACAUUCAAGGACUCGUCGGUAAGUCUCCUUCUGUCACUUUACUAGUCACGCUAGGCGCUGUGACUUGGAGGGGUAAGAAUGACUUUGACGUCCGAGCGCUGUCACCCACUGGCCUGGCUGGACUUCAAGCCAUAGUCAAAGAUUUUCCCAGAGUAACUGAAGACCUUCACAGAUUUGCUGAGGAGUUUCAUGCAGUCAUUCACAUUUAUCAACAUGGUUUCUCUGACUCAUAUCAGCUAGUUCAUAUGCUCGUUGGCGAAGGCCAGGCCCAGCACUGGAUGAAACACGAAAUGGGAAAUGGCAGAAGGUCUCUAGAAUUAGACCAACCCACUAACCUGUUAUAAGAUCAGGCUCAGGUUCCUGGGGCUUUUCCAAAGUCUGUUGAUCGGUACAAGAAUCAGACUUGCACACAAAGAUCUGAUCAAUCUGUUCAUGACUAUUAGGAUCAACUUCAGAUUGUUUCUUCAAAAAAUUCUGGUCUUCAGAUACCGAUUCCCACCCGGAUAGCUUUUACCUGUGUUUAUCAGUGGGCUGAGCUGGCACCUUUCCCUCCUAGUAAAAAGUGCCAGGAUGCAAUGGGGAACUAGGUCCACUCAGAUUUAGCUAAUGCAGCACACCAGCCCUCUGGCACCUUGGAGAGGAGUCACCUCCAGGGAAGCCCGCCAGCGUCCUUAACCUUCAACCUCAGCAAGUGGAGGCUCCUAAACAAAAUGAGUCCUCCUCGUUCCUGCUGUUACUGCGAAGACCAGAUCAUUCGGAAGGAAACGGUUACACAUUCAAGCACUUCACCUGCCCCCAGUCGUUCUGACAUCCUCCCAGUUCUCACUGGUGGAGCUUCAAGGAACCGUGGGGCUCUUCCCAGUCCUCCCUCCUGAGCAGCUUGGAGAAGCCCUGCUCCAGAUGGAGGAUGGGUCUCUUCCAGUCGCCAGGGACACCAGACCCACACUGUCAGGGCUCAGCCUCACUAUAAACAGCCCCUUCCUCGGAGUGCUGAAGCAGUUCAGGUAGUUGUGGGGGGGGGGUCUAAUGAACCUCAAGAGGUUCCUGUCUCUGGACCUGUCCCCUUUUGUUUAGACCCUUUGAGAGACACACAUCCUGUCAACCUCGUUCCUCCAACUCCACCCAUUUAUUGGGAGAGACUUCAGAGAGAAGUAUCAUGCCAGAACUUACUUCUCCCAAAGGUGGAAGUAAUUCUAGGUUAUCAAAGUAACCAGCCAGGUGAAUUAACUGACCCCUCAACAUCUUUUACUUGUUCCAUCUCUGAUGAUUCUAGAGCUGCUUCUAGAAAAUCUAGGAUCAUGUGUCCCUAUUGAAUCAGUUACCACCCUUCUUAUGGGCAGAAUCUCCAACUGAUGCUGGCAAAAUUCACAGCACACCUGCCAUCAAAAUUCAAAUACAUGCCUCAAAAACCUCUUCCCAGAAGUACUCAAUACCCUCUAAGUAAGAAGUCCUUCCAGGCAUAAAGCCCAAAGCUCAAGACCCCCCUCUCUUG